GGGUGGAACAUUUUGUUUACUGGAUUAUAUGCUCUGAUCCUGUGGUUUAUUUAGGCUGGAUCUAGACACACCAAAAAAAGUGUUUUGGGAAAACACAUUGCCAGCUUCAUAGAGGGAAAUCACGUUGGCCAAAGAUGGGACUCCACAGUGCCAUCUGGUGUCACAGUGUUAUAACACAUGUAAAACGCUUUUUCUUUACUAAUGUAGCUGAGUCCAUAUUCCUACAGACCUCUGCUCAUGCAACAGGGACUCACCUUCCAUCCCUCGUCUUUGCAGACCCCAAUGCUCCCUCCAGAUGUGAUCCAGAGGGUCCCCAACCCUCCAGCAGAGAUUUUUUGAGAGAGUGUGGGGAGCUUCGAGGUGGGAGGAACAUCCCAUUGCACCAGUGGAAGCCCAAUCUGCUUACAUACAGACAGCAUUGGCUAUCACCCAUGGACAAGGGGGAAUAGCUAUUCUCUUUAGUUUUUCCACCACUGUACAUUGCAAAAUCGGACAAUCCUGUUGCCCCGAUUAAGCUGAUUGGUUCAGCUGAAUGUUUGCAGUUCCCUGUGUAACUAGGAGGCCACAUUGGCAGGUAUGUCAAGCCAUGCUGGCAUUGCCAUUGGUAGCCUGGAGGGGAAAGCACAGCAGACAGUAUUCCAGAAGACAGAACUGGGCCAUCCUGUCCCGAAGGACACCCUUGCAUUCUGUUGCAAGCCCAGAAACAACCUGUUGGAAAAUGAAGUAUUUGCAAGAAAUCAACACUGGAUCCUUCAGAAGACAACGCAGAAGUGUGGUGGAAAAAACAAAGAACUGCUGUGCCGUUGUCUUUUACUUCUCUUUAAUGUCGGGUUCAGAAGUAAUGAUGGAAAGGGAAGGUGAGAAAGGGUGAAGAGAGAGAGAAGAGUAGAAAGUCUCCCAGUUGAUUUAUCUCCUGAGGUGAUGGUCUCCUCAAGAACUAGAGGCAGCACUGGUGACCAGGGUUGGCCUGGUAACAACAACAACAACAACAACAACAACAACAACAACAA